rnacentral:hammerhead_ribozyme from 1 species
AUCCAGCUGAAGAGUCCUAACUAGGACGAAACGCGUGUCCAUUGCGAU